rnacentral:rRNA from 1 species
AUGAUGUCUUUCGUCUCCUUGCUGGGAGCACCUCACAUUGACUCCCUGGCGUUUGCUCGCUCCAGCAAGCAAACUGACCAACACGCACAACUCUCAUCCUACACGCUUUUUUGGCACAUCCAGAUUUGGAGUCGUCGCAGUUGGGCGACCAACUACAUCCAGAUCUGGAGUCCUAGGGGUGGGCGACAAGCCAUUUUUCCUAGAUCUGGAGCCAACAUGAUGAUUGGCGAUGAAGGAAAGCAGCAUACUGUCUCCGAUGGCCACGUCUUACCACGAUUGGCAUCGGAGAAGGUAGUUGUUGCCUCCACUUCGCCCUCCGCUAUCAACAUCGAAGAAGGAAGGCCCCUUAUAGCCCUAAUUAUGAAGAUCACACUAGAACAAGGCUUCUCUGAACUUGAAUUUGAAGCUGAUAUCAUGCAAAACAUCAACCGGAGCUCCAACACCCCCAUCUCCGUGCACCGUGUCAUGUUUGGACCCGAAGGCUGGGCGGACCUACCACACGGAUUAUUGCACUCCAUCAUUGUCCUGUUGGGUUCAACCCGUGACCUUCUUGCAUUCAUCGCCACCUGCCCUAGCUGGUAUGCCGCAUUCAUGUCAAUCAAUUCUACCUUAGAAGAGCUCUUCCCACCUGUUAUUUUCCGGAACUGUGCCGACCAGACAAGCUCAGCUGGCUCUAACAUUGGAAACACAUGGGAGCUCAUUGAUCCUGUAUAUCCAAGUACUCCGUUGUGUCGCUUGACCCCUCCAAGUAUUUUGGACAAAAUGACAGUCGUCAAAUGUUCUUAUGGUCAUGCGAUUUUCUGCUACGAGAGAUCCCUUGUCAUUAUGGACGUGCUCAAUGGCACUACAGUUGCAGCUCCACCUUUCCCAUUGAGUCAACUAUGCUACAAAACCUUCAUAUCUCCAAAGGCGUCACCAGAUUCAUAUCUAUUUGUCAGCAGCCCGCACUGCCUGUACGCUUGGCGAGUUGGGAGCCCCUCUUGGUUGCACUGCGAUUUUCUAAAUGCACAUUUGAUCAAGGAGAUGGUGUCCUUCAAAGGCCGGGUCAUUAUGAGGAUGCGUCAAAAACUAUACACCGUGCAUUUGGCACCUCAGUUUCAUGUUGAGGUACUAAGAGUUGAUUGCAGAGAUUAUAUGGACCCGUACGUGCUUUCCGGAAAUUUGGUGGCUUGUGAAGACACACUUCUCCUACUUGGUCGUAACGGGGAAGCCUUCUCCAUUGACUUCUCAACUGAACCUGCAAAGUAUGUGAUCGUGGAAGAGGAAGGCUUGAAGAAGUGGGCGUUCUUCUUUGGCGAGAAACGUAAUAGACAGCCACGACUCUUAGUGAAUCCAGAGAGAAUGGGUUUAAGGGGUGGCCUUGUCUAUCAGUUGGAUGAAAAUGCUCGGGUAUUUUCAUACCCAGUAGAUGGCAACCAAAAUGAGGAGUUGGAGCCAGAACCUUGUUUUGCGACGAUCAAUGCUUAUCUUGCUCGCAAUCCUACAUCCUUUGCAGCUUGGGUAUGA